rnacentral:lncRNA from 1 species
AUGAUAAAUGAAACUCUCUUCAGUGCUUCUUUGAGGUCACAAACCUUAUACCCCCAGAAACUCAACACUGGACAGUUAUUCCUGACCAGUGCAUGGCUUCCAUAUGGCAGAGAAGGUAAAUUGGAGAAGGAAAUAGGGAGGCGAAGGGGACAAUGACAAUCAGAAACAACAGGAGAAGAUGAGGUACUGAGUUGUGGGAGUUAUGAGCCCGUGGUGGGUGGGAGUCUGACUAAAAGUCAGCCACUGAUCCAGAAACUAUAUCAUCAAGCAGGGAUUUCAUGCUUUUCUGAAGCUUAACGUAGAAACAACCCACUAUUUCCAUUGCUUUAACUCUUACUGCUAUAGAUUUUCUAAUUCCAGUCACUUCUUCAGGGUUUAUUUAUUCCUUUUGCUUUGUAAAAUGAAGAUGGGAUAUAUUUCCAGAACACUUUGUUUCUAAGCUAGCACGAGUAUCCCUGAGCAUACGUGUAUCUGGUUCUGAUGCAUAUCCUUAACUGUUUGAUAUAAUCACUGUUUAGUCAAAAUUAAAUAUGCUUUCUUGCACUGUUCUUAUUGUUCAGCACUGGCACCCUUAUAUCUUCCCCUCUUUUCAACUGUUUCCACUCAGACACCCAAAUCCCCCAGUCCUCUUUUUUUUUCUCCUCCAGUUCCACAUUUUUUAACAGAAGCUUGUCACUGAUCUUCCAACCACUGUAAAACUGUGUCUUAGAAAUGAAGGCAUUUAAACAGCCAUUUUCUUAGCAUGUUAUGUGAAAGAGCAGAAUAUAAAAGCUACAAUUCCAGAUUUGGGUCUGAUGCUGGGCUCCAGUAAAAUUCAUGAGGUACAGGAAAAGUACCUUGUGCACAUAUG